GAUGAACGCUGGCGGCGUGCCUAAUACAUGCAAGUCGAGCGAACGGACGAGAAGCUUGCUUCUCUGAUGUUAGCGGCGGACGGGUGAGUAACACGUGGAUAACCUACCUAUAAGACUGGGAUAACUUCGGGAAACCGGAGCUAAUACCGGAUAAUAUUUUGAACCGCAUGGUUCAAAAGUGAAAGACGGUCUUGCUGUCACUUAUAGAUGGAUCCGCGCUGCAUUAGCUAGUUGGUAAGGUAACGGCUUACCAAGGCAACGAUGCAUAGCCGACCUGAGAGGGUGAUCGGCCACACUGGAACUGAGACACGGUCCAGACUCCUACGGGAGGCAGCAGUAGGGAAUCUUCCGCAAUGGGCGAAAGCCUGACGGAGCAACGCCGCGUGAGUGAUGAAGGUCUUCGGAUCGUAAAACUCUGUUAUUAGGGAAGAACAUAUGUGUAAGUAACUGUGCACAUCUUGACGGUACCUAAUCAGAAAGCCACGGCUAACUACGUGCCAGCAGCCGCGGUAAUACGUAGGUGGCAAGCGUUAUCCGGAAAUUAUGGGCGUAAAGCGCGCGUAGGCGGUUUUUUAGUCUGAUGUGAAAGCCCACGGCUCAACCGUGGAGGGUCAUUGGAAACUGGAAAACUUGAGUGCAGAAGAGGAAAGUGGAAUUCCAUGUGUAGCGGUGAAAUGCGCAGAGAUAUGGAGGAACACCAGUGGCGAAGGCGACUUUCUGGUCUGUAACUGACGCUGAUGUGCGAAAGCGUGGGGAUCAAACGGGAUUAGAUACCCUGGUAGUCCACGCCGUAAACGAUGAGUGCUAAGUGUUAGGGGGUUUCCGCCCCUUAGUGCUGCAGCUAACGCAUUAAGCACUCCGCCUGGGGAGUACGACCGCAAGGUUGAAACUCAAAGGAAUUGGCGGGGACCCGCACAAGCGGUGGAGCAUGUGGUUUAAUUCGAAGCAACGCGAAGAACCUUACCAAAUCUUGACAUCCUUUGACAACUCUAGAGAUAGAGCCUUCCCCUUCGGGGGACAAAGUGACAGGUGGUGCAUGGUUGUCGUCAGCUCGUGUCGUGAGAUGUUGGGUUAAGUCCCGCAACGAGCGCAACCCUUAAGCUUAGUUGCCAUCAUUAAGUUGGGCACUCUAAGUUGACUGCCGGUGACAAACCGGAGGAAGGUGGGGAUGACGUCAAAUCAUCAUGCCCCUUAUGAUUUGGGCUACACACGUGCUACAAUGGACAAUACAAAGGGCAGCGAAACCGCGAGGUCAAGCAAAUCCCAUAAAGUUGUUCUCAGUUCGGAUUGUAGUCUGCAACUCGACUACAUGAAGCUGGAAUCGCUAGUAAUCGUAGAUCAGCAUGCUACGGUGAAUACGUUCCCGGGUCU
rnacentral:rRNA from 1 species